UGUCAUGUGGUGCUCGAGUUAUGGUACAACUGGAGUUGGGUGAAAGCGACAUGGAGCCUUGAAGUGGAGAGUUGAGCUCAUGAAGCAGGACAAGAGAGCCAAGGUGUUGUGCCUUCAUGGCUUCUGCACGAGCGAGAGUUUUUUGAAGAGUAGAUCAACAACUGGCACUCUUCCACUCGUUAUGGAUAUGGGUAUGAGAAUCCAAUCUUAUGAUGACCAGUUACUUCAUUUAGCUGCUGACUUAGCUCAGAGGUUGUUGCCCGCAUUUGACACUCCUACAGGAAUUGUCACUUGGCGAUACACAUGGAAUUACAAACACACAA